rnacentral:rRNA from 1 species
AUUGAACGCUGGCGGCGGGCCUAACACAUGCAAGUCGAGCGGAUGAAGGGAGCUUGCUCCUGGAUUCAGCGGCGGACGGGUGAGUAAUGCCUAGGAAUCUGCCUGGUAGUGGGGGAUAACGUCCGGAAACGGGCGCUAAUACCGCAUACGUCCUGAGGGAGAAAGUGGGGGAUCUUCGGACCUCACGCUAUCAGAUGAGCCUAGGUCGGAUUAGCUAGUUGGUGGGGUAAAGGCCUACCAAGGCGACGAUCCGUAACUGGUCUGCGAGGAUGAUCAGUCACACUGGAACUGAGACACGGACCAGACUCCUACGGGAGGCAGCAGUGGGGAAUAUUGGACAGUGGGCGGAAGCCUGAUCCAGCCAUGCCGCGUGUGUGAAGAAGGUCUUCGGAUUGUAAAGCACUUUAAGUUGGGAGGAAGGGCAGUAAGUUAAUACCUUGCUGUUUUGACGUUACCAACAGAAUAAGCACCGGCUAACUUCGUG